AUGGACUGGAGCUGGAGAGUGCUUUUCCUGGUGUCAGUGAGUACAGGUGUUCACUCUGAAGUGCAGCUAUUACAGUCUGGGUCUGAGGUGAGGAAGCCUGGGGUCUCAGUGAAGGUCUCCUGCAAGGCUUAUGGAUACACCUUCACCAGCUACUGGAUGCAGUGGGUGCGACAGGCCCCAGGGCAAGGACUUGAGUGGAAUGGAGAGGUUAAUCCUAGCAAUGGUAAUACAAACUACGCACAGAAGUUCCAGGGCAGAGUCACCAUAACUGCAGACAAGUCCACGAGCACAGCCUACAUGGAGCUGAGCAGCCUGAGAGCUGAGGACACAGCCGUGUAUUACUGUUUGAGAGACACAGUGAAGGGAACACAGCAUGAGCCCAGACACAAACCUCCCUGCAGGAGGGUCUGUAAACACCAGGGGUGUUCACUGUCCCUGAACACAAGGACCUUCUCAUGA